CCUACGUGAGGCAGCAGUGGGGAAUAUUGGACAAUGGGCGAAAGCCUGAUCCAGCCAUGCCGCGUGUGUGAAGAAGGCCUUCAGGUUGUAAAGCACUUUCAGUGGGGAAGAAAGCCUUGGGGCUAAUACCCUCGAGGAAGGACAUCACCCACAGAAGAAGCACCGGCUAACUCCGUGCCAGCAGCCGCGGUAAUACGGAGGGUGCGAGCGUUAAUCGGAAUUACUGGGCGUAAAGCGCGCGUAGGCGGUCUGAUAAGCCGGUUGUGAAAGCCCCGGGCUCAACCUGGGAACGGCAUCCGGAACUGUCAGGCUAGAGUGCAGGAGAGGAAGGUAGAAUUCCCGGUGUAGCGGUGAAAUGCGUAGAGAUCGGGAGGAAUACCAGUGGCGAAGGCGGCCUUCUGGACUGACACUGACGCUGAGGUGCGAAAGCGUGGGUAGCAAACAGGAUUAGAUACCCGUGUAGUC
rnacentral:rRNA from 1 species